GAUGAACGNCUGGCGCGCGUUCUUAACACAUGCAAGUCGAGCGAGGGAGCACCUUCGGGUCUGUACUAGCGGCGGACGGGUGAGUAACACGUGGGCAACCUGCCUUACAGAGGGGGAUAGCCUUCCGAAAGGAAGAUUAAUACCGCAUAUUAUGAUUUUUCUGCAUGGGAAAGUCAUGAAAGGAGCAAUCCGCUGUAAGAUGGGCCCGCGGCGCAUUAGCUAGUUGGUGAGGUAAGGGCUCACCAAGGCGACGAUGCGUAGCCGACCUGAGAGGGUGAUCGGCCACAUUGGGACUGAGACACGGCCCAGACUCCUACGGGAGGCAGCAGUGGGGAAUAUUGCACAAUGGGGGAAACCCUGAUGCAGCAACGCCGCGUGAGUGAUGACGGCCUUCGGGUUGUAAAGCUCUGUCUUCAGGGACGAUAAUGACGGUACCUGAGGAGGAAGCCACGGCUAACUACGUGCCAGCAGCCGCGGUAAUACGUAGGUGGCGAGCGUUGUCCGGAUUUACUGGGCGUAAAGGGAGCGUAGGCGGAUUUUUAAGUGAGAUGUGAAAUACCCGGGCUCAACUUGGGUGCUGCAUUUCANACUGGAAGUCUAGAGUGCAGGAGAGGAGAGUGGAAUUCCUAGUGUAGCGGUGAAAUGCGUAGAGAUUAGGAAGAACACCAGUGGCGAAGGCGACUCUCUGGACUGUAACUGACGCUGAGGCUCGAAAGCGUGGGGAGCANACAGG
rnacentral:rRNA from 1 species